rnacentral:rRNA from 1 species
UAGCUGUGUUGCCAGCAUGCACUUCGGGGUGAUGGGGACUCACAGGAGACCGCCGGGGUCAACUCGGAGGAAGUUGGGGACGACGUCAAGUCAUCAUGCCCCUUAUGUCGUGGGCUGCACACGUGCUACAAUGGCCGGUACAAAGAGCUGCGAAACCGUGAGGUGGAGCGAAUCUCAAAAAGCCGGUCUCAGUUCGGAUUGGGGUCUGCAACUCGACCCCAUGAAGUCGGAGUUGCUAGUAAUCGCAGAUCAGCAUUGCUGCGGUGAAUACGUUGCCCGGGCCUUGUACACACCGUCCGUCACGUCACGAAAGUCGGUAACACCCGAAGCCGGUGGCCACAACCCUUGUGGAGGGAGCCGUCGAAGGGGACGCGG